rnacentral:rRNA from 1 species
UACGGAAGGUGCAAGCGUUGCUCGGAAUCACUGGGCGUAAAGGGUGCGCAGGCGGCCGUGCAAGUCUGGCGUGAAAGCCCCGGGCUCAGCCCGGGAAGUGCGCUCGAAACUGCGCGGCUCGAGUGCCGGAGGGGAGAGUGGAAUUCCUGGUGUAGCGGUGAAAUGCGUAGAUAUCAGGAGGAAUACCGGUGGCGAAAGCGACUCUCUGGACGGCAACUGACGCUGAGGCACGAAAGCGUGGGGAGCAAACAGG